AUGUGUAAUAAAGUAGACCAUCCAAUUGGGGUAAAUUCUAGUGGUAAUAUGUGUUGUUUAGCGAUGGCGGUGCAUACUGUAUCUGAUAACUUUUCAUGUUGGCAUAGCAUUUUGGUCAGGGAGCUUUUAAAAAUCAAGUGCUUAUACCUCCUAAAAACAUGGAGGGUUCGGAUAGGCAAGGGCCCUGCAGUGAGGGAUCUGAAUCCAAACAGGAAAACUGCACUAGAAUUGUCUGUUAGGGCAUAUGCAGAGAAGCACAAUGGAACGGUUGUGAAGCCAACAAUUGGCACCUCGUUUGACUCGAUUGAUGAGGCAUAUGAGUUCUACAAUCUUUAUUCUUGGGAGUGCGGUUUUGGUGUCCAUCUUUCAAGCAGCAGACUGAAUGUUGACAGGAACAAAGCCAUGCAAGAAAUUGUAUGUGCAUGUGCGGGCAAACCACAAAAGGAGAACACCCGUUCAACGAGAUGUGGUUGCACAGCUAUGAUUAGGCUGCUUAGGUCCAGUGAUAAUGGUUGGUACAUAUCAGAACAUAAAGAAGCUCAUAACCAUCCAUUGUCUUUGACUUGCGGGGAGAAAAUGCAUUGGAAGUCACAUAUGCAUAUUGAUCGGUAUGCGAAGGAUCUGGUGAAGCAACUACGGGACAACAAUGUAGGGCUUGGCAAGGUGUCCAGCAUCGUUGGUAGUUUCUUUGGAUCGGUGGAGAAUGUCCCGUUCACAAAACGCUCUUUGAAGAUUCUAUGCCGGAAGCUUAACAAGGAGCAAUCUGAUUUUGAUGCGAUGAAGACAAUGGACAUUUUGUCAGAGAUGAAAGCAAAUGACCCUGGUUUCAAUUAUACAGUGCAGGUGGAUGAGGAGAGUCGGAUUAAAACUUUGAUGUGGGUGACUAGCAGGGGUUGUGAUCAGUACAUGUGUUUUGGAGAUGUUACCAUGUUUGACACGACAUACCGAACGAACCUGUAUGACAUGCCGUUUGGGUUGUUUGUCGGGGUAAAUAACCACUUCCAUAGUAUAAUAUUCGGAGGUGUCAUGGUUAGAGAUGAAAAAGAGGAAACAUUUAAAUGGGUUUUCAGGGAAUUCAUUCGCAUGGUGGGAGGGAAGCACCCCAAAACGAUUCUGACAGAUCAAGCAAGAUCAAUGGAAAUUGCUAUCGAAGCUGAGCUACCGAACACAUUGCACCGAUGGUGUAAAUGGCAUGUCUUGCGGAAGGCUAAAGAGUCGAUGAGGACACUUUGGAGCAAGAAAAAGCGAUUUCAAAUUAGAGUUCCAUAA
rnacentral:rRNA from 1 species